CAGUGUAUAGUAUUAUUAAUUUAAGAAAUUUUGAUUUAGUAAUUUUCAUAAAUAUUGAUAAAAUAUGUGCCAGCAAUCGCGGUUAUACAUAGGAUAUAAGUAAAUAGUAAUUAGUUUAUGUAGUUAAUAAUUGUAUUGGAAUUAAAAAAAGUAUUGUGAGGUGGAAUAUUCAAUUUAUAUUAAUUUUUAUGAGAAUAGAUUGAGGCUACGAAAUCUUUUUAUUAGACUAGGAUUAGAUACCCUAUUAUUUUUGAUUUAAAAUAUUAAAACUUGAGUAGUAAUAGUUAUGUUCUUGAAACUUAAAGAAUUUGGCGGUAUUUUAGUCUUUUUAGAGGAAUCUGUUCCUUGAUUCGAUAGUCCACGUUGGACCUUACUUAAUUUUUUAAUUUGUAUACCGCCGUGGUUGAUAAUCUUUGUAGGGUUAAUUUCUUAUGUAUUUUUAGAUAAUUUUCAGGUCAAGGUGCAGUUUAUAAUUAAGUGGAAAUGGAUUACAUUAUCUUGAAAUAUACGGAUUAUUAAUUUUAAUUUUAAUUAUUAAGGUGGAUUUAAGGGUAAUUUUGUUAAGAAUGUUGAUGUGAUUAUAGCUCUAGGAUAUGUACACAUCGCCCGUCAUUCUCAUUUUGAAGGUGAGACAAGUCGUAACAUAGUAGAUGUACCGGAAGGUGUAACUAGAUUGAU
rnacentral:rRNA from 1 species